rnacentral:rRNA from 1 species
GAAAUCGUACCCCAAACCGACACAGGUGGUCAGGUAGAGAAUACCAAGGCGCUUGAGAGAACUCGGGUGAAGGAACUAGGCAAAAUGGUGCCGUAACUUCGGGAGAAGGCACGCUGACACGUAGGUGAAGUGAUUUACUCAUGGAGCUGAAGUCAGUCGAAGAUACCAGCUGGCUGCAACUGUUUAUUAAAAACACAGCACUGUGCAAACACGAAAGUGGACGUAUACGGUGUGACGCCUGCCCGGUGCCGGAAGGUUAAUUGAUGGGGUCAGCGCAAGCGAAGCUCCUGAUCGAAGCCCCGGUAAACGGCGGCCGUAACUAUAACGGUCCUAAGGUAGCGAAAUUCCUUGUCGGGUAAGUUCCGACCUGCACGAAUGGCGUAAUGAUGGCCAGGCUGUCUCCACCCGAGACUCAGUGAAAUUGAACUCGCUGUGAAGAUGCAGUGUACCCGCGGCAAGACGGAAAGACCCCGUGAACCUUUACUAUAGCUUGACACUGAACAUUGAGCCUUGAUGUGUAGGAUAGGUGGGAGGCUUUGAAGUGUGGACGCCAGUCUGCAUGGAGCCGACCUUGAAAUACCACCCUUUAAUGUUUGAUGUUCUAACGUGGACCCGUUACCCGGGUUGCGGACAGUGUCUGGUGGGUAGUUUGACUGGGGCGGUCUCCUCCUAAAGAGUAACGGAGGAGCACGAAGGUUGGCUAAUCCUGGUCGGACAUCAGGAGGUUAGUGCAAUGGCAUAAGCCAGCUUGACUGCGAGCGUGACGGCGCGAGCAGGUGCGAAAGCAGGUCAUAGUGAUCCGGUGGUUCUGAAUGGAAGGGCCAUCGCUCAACGGAUAAAAGGUACUCCGGGGAUAACAGGCUGAUACCGCCCAAGAGUUCAUAUCGACGGCGGUGUUUGGCACCUCGAUGUCGGCUCAUCACAUCCUGGGGCUGAAGUAGGUCCCAAGGGUAUGGCUGUUCGCCAUUUAAAGUGGUACGCGAGCUGGGUUUAGAACGUCGUGAGACAGUUCGGUCCCUAUCUGCCGUGGGCGCUGGAGAACUGAGGGGGGCUGCUCCUAGUACGAGAGGACCGGAGUGGACGCAUCACUGGUGUUCGGGUUGUCAUGCCAAUGGCACUGCCCGGUAGCUAAAUGCGGAAGAGAUAAGUGCUGAAAGCAUCUAAGCACGAAACUUGCCCCGAGAUGAGUUCUCCCUGAGACUUAGAGUCUCCUGAAGGAACGUUGAAGACGACGACGUUGAUAGGCCGGGUGUGUAAGCGCAGCGAUGCGUUGAGCUAACCGGUACUAAUGAACCGUGAGGCUUAACCUUACA